rnacentral:tRNA from 1 species
CAGUGGCUGAGCGGUAAAAUGCUUGGUUCCAAACCAGGGGUCCCAGGUUCGAAUCCUGCUG